rnacentral:tRNA from 1 species
GGCCAGGUAACUCAAUUGGUUAGAGUAUUGCUCUGAUACACCAAGGUUGUGGGUUCAAUCCCUGGUCA